CGCACGGGUGAGUAACACGUAUCCAACCUGCCGUCUACUCUUGGACAGCCUUCUGAAAGGAAGAUUAAUACAAGAUGGCAUCAUGAGUUCACAUGUCACAUGAUUAAAGGUAUUCCGGUAGACGAUGGGGAUGCGUUCCAUUAGAUAGUAGGCGGGGUAACGGCCCACCUAGUCUUCGAUGGAUAGGGGUUCUGAGAGGAAGGUCCCCCACAUUGGAACUGAGACACGGUCCAA
rnacentral:rRNA from 1 species